UGGAGAGGCACAGAUGAGCUCCCUGACCCCACUGCUGUCUCAGCAUCUCCCUGGGUGUAGGCAUGGAACCUGCUGAACCCCCAGAUCGCGCCCCGGGGGCUGCUCUGGGUGGGGGCACCGGCAGUGCUAUGCGGGGACUUUGCGUUUGAGGGGGCCAUUUAAUCCUGGCCGGGCGGCCCAGUUGAAUUUUAGGAGGGUCUGGUUUAAUCCUGUGUUGGUCAAUUUAAUCCUGGUUAAAUUUUAACAAGUUUAAUUCUGAGGAGCCUAGUUUGAUCCUGGGGAGGAGGGGCUUGGUUUAAUGGAGCGAAGUCUGGUUUAAUCCUGGAGAAACCCCAGUUCAAUCCUGGGAACCCCAGGUUAACCCUGAGGUCCAAAUUUAGUCCCGGAGGGGUUGGUUUAAUCCCAAGUACCCAAAUUUAAAUCUGGGAUGUUCCAAUUUAAUCCUGGAAGUGGCCUCUUCAAUCCUGGUAAACCCAGUUAAAUCUAGGAGGUACCAGCUUCAUUCUAGAUGGGGCAGAGUUAAAUUUUGAGGCCUCAGUUUAAUUCUGGAAGAGUCAUGUUUAGUCCGGGUGAGCCCAGUUUAAUCCUGAUUUGAAGGCCCCGGUUGGAUUUUGUGAGGGAUCUACUUUAACUAUUGGGGAGCAGUUGGAUUGGGGUUGGUUUAAUUCUGGGGGGACCCCAAUUUUGCCUGUGGACGGGUCUGGUUUAAUCCUAGUAAACCCAGUUGAAUCCUGGGGGUGGUCCCAGUUUAAUCUUGAGGGAUCCCAGUUUGAAUCUGGGGAAAUCCUGGCCCAGCUCGGGGCUCUUGGUGUAACCUGGGGGUCUCCUCUCAGCCUCUGACUGGGUCCCUUUGGGGUCCCUGUGUGCUGCAGAUCCGGAACCUCAACAGUGGCUUCUCCCAGCUGCGGGCCCUGGUGCCGCUGGUGCCGCGGGACCGCCGGCCCAGCAAGGCAGAGACGCUGCGGGCAGCGGCAGAGUACAUCCGGCUGCUGCGGGGCGUGCUGCGGGGCUGCCGGGAAGUCAGCACUGAGCAAGAGCUGAGGGACACUUGCAGGGGUGACAGUGCCCCCCAUGCCCGUGGGGACCUCUCCUCCUGCCCCCCCAACCUGGAGCACUGCUGAAGGAGGGGGGACGGUGAGUGGGGGGCAGAACACCUUGGGGGGCACCCUGGGAAUUUGUGGGAGGCUUGAAAUCACCUUUUCCCCAAAAAUAUUCCAAAGGUGAGAAAAAUCUUUGGGAAAACUUAUUUUUCUCCUUUUCUUUUUUUUUUUUAAGGUUUUUGGGGGGGGGGGGGGGGGGGGGGGGGGGGGGGGGGGGGGGGGGGGGGGGGGGGGGGGGGGGGGGGGGGGGGGGGGGGGGGGGGGGGGGGGGGGGGGGGGGGGGGGGGGGGGGGGGGGGGGGG
rnacentral:lncRNA from 1 species